GGCACCUUCGGUGUCCAGAGUUGUAAUCUCUAGAAAAUGUUUUCCGCGUUGGACCGCACACAAGUCUGUUGGAAUACAGCGGCAUAGUGGUAGAGACCCCCGUAUAUGGUGCGGACGCCCAGCGCUUUGUGAUACAUUUUCGAAGAGUCGAGUUGUUUGGGAAUGCAGCUCAAAUUGGGUGGUAAAUUCCAUCUAAAGCUAAAUAUUGGCGAGAGACCGAUAGCGAACAAGUACCGUGAGGGAAAGAUGAAAAGCACUUUGGAAAGAGAGUUAACAGUACGUGAAAUUGUUGGAAGGGAAACGCUUGAAGUCAGACUUGCUUGCCGAGCAAUCGGUUUGCAGGCCAGCAUCAGUUUUCCGGGAUGGAUAAUGGUAGAGAGAAGGUAGCAGUUUCGGCUGUGUUAUAGCUCUCUGCUGGAU
rnacentral:rRNA from 1 species